rnacentral:rRNA from 1 species
AGUGAACACUGGCGGCAGGCCUAAUACAUGCAAGUCGAACGGCAGCACGGCAGAGCUUGCUCUGUGGGUGGCGAGUGGCGGACGGGUGAGGAAUACAUGGGAAUCUGCCCAGUCGUGGGGGAUAACGUAGGGAAACUUACGCUAAUACCGCAUGCGCCCUUCGGGGGAAAGCCGGGGACCUUCGGGCCUGGCGCGAUUGGAUGAGCCCACUGUCGGAUUAGCUAGUUGGCGGGGUAAGUGGCCCACCCAAGGCGACGAUCCGUAGCUGGUCUGAGAGGAUGAUCAGCCACACUGGAACUGAGACACGGUCCAGACUCCUACGGGAGGCAGCAGUAGGGAAUAUUGGACAAUGGCGCAAGCCUGAUCCAGCCAUGCCGCGUGAGUGAAGAAAGGCCCUCGGGUUGUAAAAGCUCUUUUGUCCGGAAAAGAAAAAGCGCCGGGUUAAAUACCCUGGUGUCCCUCGGUAACCGGAAGAAAUAAAGCACCGGCUAAACUUCGUGCCAGCCCCC